AUGAAGUUACCAUUUGGUAUCGUACGGAGAUUUCUCAUCAGUCCAAUUAGUAGCCCUAACUAGCGUCCUGCGCUGACGAUUACCAUAUCCAGACCACAACGGUUCCGUUCUAUGACCAUCUGAUGAAUCAGUUCCUCGAUAGAAAGCUGCAGAAGAAGAUAAUCGAGGUUUUAAGGAAUUAGGGUUUCGUAUCGAAUUCGAAGCACUGACAAUGGAUCGAGGUCGAGACCUAGCUCGAUUGUAACAGCAUGUUAUGGAUGAGUAUACAGCAUGAUGAGGUCUGCAAACUGUCCUCAAAUUACUCAUUUUCUUCGACCUUCGUUUCGAAUUGAAUUUAGGAUUUUUGAUUUAGGGUUUGUG
rnacentral:lncRNA from 1 species